AUAAAAUCGAAAAAAUAACAUCGUAUAAUUUCGGGGAUAUGGCCUGUAAGUUUCUACCAAGCUGCCGUAAAUAGCUUGACUACGAGGUUAUGAGAGUAAAUA
rnacentral:ncRNA from 2 species